rnacentral:tRNA from 1 species
GGGGGACUAGCUCAGCGGUAGAGCGUGUGCUUAGCAGGCACGAGGUCCUGGGUUCGAUCCUGAGUACCUCC